AAACAAACCGAGUGUCGAACCACCGGCAAGGAACCUGAUUCAAACACAAGCAAAAGUACCCACUCGCGGCUGAUGCUGAGGCAACACGUUGGCGUAGGAGUGAGCAGUAAGAUGCUGUACUACUGACACUUGGUGACGAAGCUCUGCAGGACCGGCAUCUCAAACUUGAUAUACUGCGCCACCUGGUGGAAUGGAGGAAACGAGACAUGAGAGAGAAGAAGUGAGGCUCCUCCUCAUG